UACGAAGGGGGCUAGCGUUGUUCGGAAUCACUGGGCGUAAAGGGCGCGUAGGCGGCUUUAUAAGUCGGGGGUGAAAUCCUGGGGCUCAACCUCAGAAUUGCCUCCGAUACUGGCAGUCUCGAGUGCGGGAGAGGUGAGUGGAAUUCCCAGUGUAGAGGUGAAAUUCGUAGAUAUUGGGAAGAACACCAGUGGCGAAGGCGGCUCACUGGCCCGUAACUGACGCUGAGGUGCGAAAGCGUGGGGAGCAAACAGG
rnacentral:rRNA from 1 species